UUGAGAUGUGCCAAGUCUGAAUAGAAUCGGCAGUUAAUUUCCCAUUUUAUGAGCUUCAUGAAUAUUCAAAAUUAUGAGCCUUUUUGGGAGAGGUACCUGGAGGAGUGGACCGAUAUAUUCCAUCUUCACAGUUGACCUUGUGUUGGUAGAAAUAAUAUUAUGUGUGUAAUUGGAAGAAAACCGGAUACUUAUUUCGGAUUUUAUAUUCGGUUUGGCCAUUCAAAACUUUGACCCUUUGGAAAGGAAUUUUCCGAUCUCUACCAUCUUUAUAACAGAUCUUGUGUUGAUGGAAAUAUUGAGAUAUGCCAAGUCUGAAUGGAAUCGGAUGUUAAUUUCGUGUUUUUGAGCUUCAUCGAUACUAAAAAAUUUGACCCUUUGUGGGGGAGGUACCAGAAGGAGUGGACCGAUAUACCCCAUAUUCACACCAUACCUUGGGUUAACAAAAAUAUUGUGAUGUGUGUAAUUUGAAGAGAGACGGAUACUUAUUUCGUAUUUUAUGAUCGUUUUGGUUGUUCAAAACAUUGGCCCCUUUGUGGGGGAGGUACCAGAAGAAAUGGUCAAAUCUGUAGCAUCUUUAUAACAGAUCUUGUGUUGAAGAAAAUAUUGAGAUGCACCAAGUUUGAAUGGAAUCCGAUGUUAUUUUCGUGUUUUAUGAGCUACAUGAAUAUUCAAAAUGUUGACCCUUUGUGAUGUGUGUAAUUUGAAAACAAUCGGACUCUUACAUCACAUUUUAUAAGAGUUAUAAUUAUUCAAAAUGUUGAUCCUUUUUGGGGGAGGUACGUGAUAGAGUGGACCGAUAUUGUCCAUUUUCGCAUCUGACCUAGCACUGAUGCAAAUAUUAAGAUUUGCAAAGUUUGAGGAAAAUCGGAUUAUUGUUUCUCUUUCUGUGCAAAAAAUUAUUUUCUUUAAAAAUUUUGACAUUUUGUGUGGGAGAUGCCAGAAGGAGUGCACCGAUAUUGCCUAUCUCCGAACUUGAUUUAAGUUUUAUAAUAAUAUUACGAUGUACCGAGUUUGGAUUAAAUCGGAUACUCCCUUUGGGAGUUAUCGCGUGCACCAGUCAGACGGUCAUCUCUAGAUCGACUCCAAAUGUCCUGAAACGGAUUUGGUCCAAGCAGGGUUUUGGCCGUAUCAAAUGAUGUAUACCCUCUCUAGCAAUAUGGCUAAGGUUAAAAUAAAACACGACUUAUGUAGUUUUUAACUAAGAGCAAAUCUUAUUUCUCUUACAAAUCAUAAACAUUGCUCGUAGUUUCUCUCUCUUAAAGAGAGUAAAAAUCAAAACAAUAACAACGUCGUAAUAACAGAAAUAUAAACAAAACAAAUAUUGCCCGCAUGCAUGCCAUCCACGAAGCCAGUCUGGCAAACGCCUUUACCUCUCCUUUGACGUUUCAUUUACUUUCUAUGCAAGAAAGACAACAAAAACAAUCAAACCGUAAAUUCAACAACAACAUUAUUGAGACAGUCGUAUUGUGGGCAUUCAGUGAAUAAAACUUUCCAGAUUGAGUGGCGCGCACACUCUUCGUUUGGCAAUUGUUUUGGACGCAUUUCGGUUUGCUCAUUACCUUUCAACCCGACCACUUCACACACAGCGCGUACACAUCAUUUUAUACCAUUUUAAAUACAACUAAAUUCGCAAAUUGUGGGUUUUUCAAUGAGUCUGAUUUGUUUUGUCUCUUUUUGCCCAUAAACGAAAACAGCGCAUUAUCUGAGGGGCUGCUCCAGGCUAAAGAGUGACUUGUUAAAGCUUUAGAAAAAAACUGUGCAAAAAAUUAUUUGAAGACUUAACAUAUGGUAUGUGCGAACUAUAUGUGUAUGUAUAUACACCAUUUUUAUAUGUGGGCAUUAAUAAAAGAACAUUUCCGAAACUGGGGGAGAGGUACAAAGUUCAGCAUUAUGUGUGUUUUAAAUUUUAAAACGUAGUUAGCCGGUGAUCGAUGUGAAGGGGUUUGGCAGUUAAAAAAAGAUAUCUGAGGAUGGUUUCAACCUCCGCUCAGAUCGAUAAAUCAGUCAUAAGAAUGGCAUGUUUCAUUCUACGCUGGAUGUUAUCAGACUUAUUAUUAUUAUUAUUUAUUUUUUUUUUUUUUGGAUUGUACAACGAAUAAAUAAACAAUCCGGAAACUGCAUGGGCCAAACUAAUCAAAUGUAGUGCAGACGUAAUUGAAGUCCUAGACAGGCAAACAAGAACCUUAAAAAUGCUGAAAGGAUAAAAAUGCCAGGUAUGGGAUGAGUGACGAAUGAAUUCUUGAACAAUACUUUGCUGGAAUUUCUAUAGGAAUAUAAUCCUCAACUAUGGCAUAUCUUUGCUAAAGUAUCAAGUAUCAGUUCCCUGGUUUUCGAAACACGAUUUAAUUUUAUUUAAUGUGCAGUAGCUCCAAGCGAAACUCGUACACUUAGCAAGCAAUUUUCUUCCAUGCAAUAUAUGAUUGUUAUCAAAUUCACUACCAGAAGAAUCCUAUAUUUUUUAUUAGUGUAUGGGAUACCAGAACUAGCCUAGAACAAAAGUUUAUUGUUUUCUAUUUAUUUAAAAACGUUUAUUCUAAAACUUACCAAAUUUCUAAGCAAAAAGCUAAACUCGUACAGCUUACAUUUAUUUUGAACUGCGCCCAACUUCACGCGAUUCUUGAAAUAUGUAUUUAUGGAAGUCCCUAAAAGCUAAUUUAUCACAAAUUUUCAACGUGUUGUGUAAUUUACUGACGUAAAUAUUAAAAAAAAAAAUAAAAAUGGGAAGACAGCGAGAACAAACCACUGUUGAAGUGAGAAAUUUAGUAAUUAAACAUUACAAAAACCAUAAAUUGCUAAGUGAGAUAUCUGAGGUCUGAUAAUAGAAGCCGAUCUACAGUUCAGUACAUCAUAAAACGGUUCAAAACAGAUGGAU